AUAAAUCUCAUAGCAGUUUGGAUGAAGAAGUUAUCCCACUUUCAAAUCAGGUGAUUCCACUUUCCCAGUUUGGGAAUAGAACAGCUUCUUCUAUUAGAUUAAGAGAAUGAAAUGAUUUAGAGAAGAUUAAGGAACAGAAUGUGAGAUUAUGAAGAGUUUAGGUGAGAAUCAUGAUUAAGAGAGUAUGAAUGUAGAGAGAUAGACUCAGAACUGUAUGUCUAUUAUUAAUGACAAGAGUUACAAUA